rnacentral:lncRNA from 1 species
AUGAGAAUAUUGUCCCCCACAGCCACCACAAAAGCAUCAAAUUCAGGAAAUUUGCAUGGAUACAAGACUACCAUUUCACCCACAGACGCCAUUCAUGCGUGUGUGCUCAGUCACUUCAGCCGUGUUCAACUCUUUGCAACCCUAUGGACCACAGCCCACCAGACUCCUCUGUCCAUGGGAUUCUCCGGGCAAGAAGACUGGAGUGGGCUGCCAUGCCCUCCUCCAGGGGAUCUUCCUGACCUAGGGAUUGAACCUUCAUCUCUUGCAUCAGUUGUCCUGAUAACCCACGACGGGAUGCAGAAUCUUGCUUCAGACCCCAUGGGGGAUGUUCCUCACAACUGCAGGUGGAGGAAGGAAGGGUUGUGUUAAUUAUUUCACAGACAAUGUGUCCUUCAAGAAACUAGAAGAAGCUGGGCUUCCAAAAAUGAGACAGACAUUAGAAGAGCCCAUUUACAAGCAGCAGCAGGAGCAGAAGAAACAGUGAUGUGGAGGAGGUGAUUCACAACUUCCUCUGUGAGGAAAAAGGAACCACGGAGGCCUGAGGUGUCCCCAGGGCCACUAGCCGGCUGUAAAAGGCACUGCUGAUCUGGAAUGGUGCCUCAAUCUUGAACAUUUGAAAUUGCUUCUACUCCAUUGUUAUUUUUAGUAGAGUUGUUUCUUCAAGAAAAUUGCUCCCUGAUCUUGUCUCUCCCUUGCUCUCAGACUAUGUGCAUGUUUUAACACAUUUGGUCAUGAUAGUCUACUUUUCUUAAUCUUAUAGUUGUUACUAUACUGUGAAAAAUGGAAAAUUUGAGUAUGUCGGUUGUAUGAUCUUACAAUGUAAAUUACUGAGACUUGCAAUGCAACAGCUUAUCAAUCCUUGAAGAUAUUUUUAUUUGAUAUCUUCUUAUGGAAUUCUUGUCUGCAAAUCUUAAGCUGAAAAGUCACUAGAAAUCUGUUUAGAAAUGAAUUAAAAAUUACAUUGCUUUUUUCUUGCUAUGUGCACUAAGAAUUGCUGUCAAAUUGUCCAUAAAGUCUGUGUACUGAUUCUCAAAACAACUGAUAAAAUCUUUAUUGUGAAAGGAAAAAAAAAGGGGGGGGGGGAUCUGAACAGGCACCUCAUGAAAGAAGACAUACAGAUGGCACAUAAACUCGUGAAAUGAUUCUCAACACCAUUUGUUACUAGGGUACUGCAAAUUAAAAAAUGAUGAGAUACUACUUCACACCUAUUACAAGGACUAAGAAUCCAGAAAAUUAACAACACUGGCAAGGUUGCAGAGAAACUUUCAUCCAUUGCUGAUGGGAAGACAAAAUGGUACAACCUUUAAAUGACAGCUUUGUAUUUUCCUAUAAAACUAAUUUUACCAUAUAAUUUAGCAAUCUCACUUCCAACUGAGCUGAAAUUUUAUGUCAUACAAAAACCUAUACCUGAAUAUUUAUAGCAUCUUUAUCCAUAAUUGUUAAAAACUAGAAGCAACCAAGAUGUCUUUCAAGACAAAUGUAUGAAUAAACUGUUACACCCUAAAAUGGAAUAUUAUUCA